UACAGAGGGUGCAAGCGUUAAUCGGAAUGACUGGGCGUAAAGGGCGCGUAGGCGGUUUAGUAAGUGAGAUGUGAAAUCCCUGGGCUUAACCUAGGAAGGUCAUUUCAUACUGCGAGACUAGAGUAUUGUAGAGGGUAGUGGAAUUUCCGGUGUAGCGGUGAAAUGCGUAGAGAUCGGAAGGAACACCAGUGGCGAAGGCGGCUACCUGGACAAAUACUGACGCUGAGGCGCGAGAGCGUGGGGAGCAAACAGG
rnacentral:rRNA from 1 species